CCUACGGGCGGCAGCAGUGAGGAAUAUUGGUCAAUGGUCGGGAGACUGAACCAGCCAAGCCGCGUGAGGGAUGAAGGUACAGAGUAUCGUAAACCUCUUUUGUCAGGGAACAAAGGCGGGGACGUGUCCCCGGAUGAGUGUACCUGAAGAAAAAGCAUCGGCUAACUCCGUGCCAGCAGCCGCGGUAAUACGGAGGAUGCGAGCGUUAUCCGGAUUUAUUGGGUUUAAAGGGUGCGCAGGCGGUCUGUUAAGUCAGCGGUAAAAGCCCGGGGUUAAACCCCGGCCCGCCGUUGAAACUGGCAGUCUCGAGUUGGAGAGAAGUAUGCGGAAUGCGCGGUGUAGCGGUGAAAUGCAUAGAUAUCGCGCAGAACUCCGAUUGCGAAGGCAGCAUGCCGGCUCCAGACUGACGCUGAGGCACGAAAGCGUGGGUAUCGAACAGGAUUAGAUACCCCUGUAGUC
rnacentral:rRNA from 1 species